UCUAGGAUGGUAAAUUCCCAAAAAAAAAAAUUGGCAUAACCACCAACGGCGUCGUAUCAUUCACUUUCGGUAGAAAAUCAGAGAACAAAAGAAGGAAAAAAAAACAUAUAGCAUAAACACAACAUACACUUGUUAAGCACCGUUGUUGCUUUGCGUCUUCUGUUUUCAGUUCGCAUUUAGCAUCUCUCUCUCGCUCUUGUGCCGAGAGACUCUUUGCGUUUCUCGAGCAAUCGGCGCCAACUGUUGAACUGGGCUAGGGUUUAGGGUCUUGAAUCGAAUUGACGGAUAUUAGAGAAAUUUCAAGGUUGAUAAAAUUUAUGCACUAGGACUUGAAGCUGAGCUUGCAGGGCGGCAUGGGAUUUGAUAAUGAGUGCAUAUUGAGUAUCCAAUCUCUUGCCGGAGAGUACUUUUGUCCAGUUUGUCGUCUGCUUGUCUACCCAAAUGAAGCAUUACAGUCACAGUGCACUCAUUUAUACUGCAAGCCCUGUUUGACAUACGUAGUGAGCUCUACCCGAGCUUGCCCAUAUGAUGGCUACUUAGUGACAGAAGCAGAUGCCAAGCCACUUAUUGAAUCAAAUAAGUCCCUUGCUGAAACCAUAGGAAAAAUAGCAGUUCAUUGCCUCUAUCACAGGAGUGGAUGCACAUGGCAGGGACCUUUAUCUGACUGUACAUCUCAUUGUUCUGGAUGUGCCUUUGGUAAUUCUCCUGUAGUAUGCAACAGGUGUGGAAUCCAAAUUGUGCAUCGUCAAGUGCAGGAGCAUGCACAAAAUUGCCCGGGUGUGCAGCCUCAAGCGCAGCAGGUUGAGGGAGCUUUGGAUACUUCAGCUUCUGGCACAUCAGCUACUGCUGAUCAGACCCAGGCUGCCACUCAGUCAGGACUAGCAACAUCUCAGGCCCAGGUUUCUCAAACUACAAGUGUCACAGCACCUGGACCUGAUCCUAAUCAGAAAGCAAACUCAAGUUCUCAAGCUGUUGUUCAAGCUGCUGUGCCGUCUGCUGAACAGUGGUACCAACAUCAGCAACAAUAUCAACAGUACUACCAGCAGUAUCCUGGGUAUGAUCCAUAUCAACAACAGUAUCAGAACUACUAUCCCUAUCAACAGCCAGCAGUUUCACAAUCACAGCAGCAGCAUUUGCAGUCUCAUCCACCAUAUGGGACCGUCCAGCAUCAAUCUCAGACAUACUUGCAAUCGCAGCCCCAAACUCAACCUCCACUACAGCCUCAAUUAUCUCAAUCUCAAGCUCAAGCUCAACCCCAACCCCAAAUUCAGCCCCAACAUUUGCAGGCUCCUGUUGCCGCUCAAACUCAAAAUCAGGCACAAGUUAACCAACAGCAGCAACUUCACCCUGUAGUGCAGACUUACCCAGCAGCUCAUGGGCAGCCACACCCUCAACCCCUACCAUAUUUUCAAGCUCCAUCCCAUUCACAGCCACAUCCUCAACAUGUGCAAAUGCCUCAUAAUCAGCAAGCCCAAAUUCAGCAACAUACCCAGUCCCAGCUUCUCCCGCAACAGCAUCCCAUUUCUCAACCCCAACCUCAUUCACAACCUCAGCAACAGGCACAGCUUCAACAACAUCCCCAACCCAAUCCCCAACUUCACCCUUCUCAGCCCAUGAAUGGUACCAUCCAGCCUCAGACACUACAUCCAUCAUCUCAUGCAGUGACUGGCAAUCACUUGUACCUUCAACCUCACCUUCACCAACCAGUGCAGUCAGGGGCCCCACAACAACAUACUAUGCACUUGCAAUCUCAUGGAAUGCCUCACUCCCAGUCACAAACUCCUGUUCAAAUACAGAGUCAGUUCCCUCAACAACCCCCACUUAUGCGGCCGCCCCCAUCUCAUACAACAGUUCCAAACCAGCAGCAGCCAGCUUUGUUGCCUUCUCCUGGUCAAAUCCAAAACAUCAAUCCUGCACAACAGCAGCCUGUUCACUCUUAUGGUCACCCACCUGGGAAUACUGUCCACCAGCGCCCUCAUAUGCAGGCAGUUCAACAACCGAUUCCUCAGCAAUAUUUCCACCACCAGCCUUUUGUACAACAGCAACCACCUACACAGCUACGCCCCCAGGGUCAAUCUCAUUCGUUCCCUCAACAUAUUCAUGCCUCUACACAGUCUCAGCAGAACGUUACAUUGUCUCAGGGCAUUCAACAUACCCAGUCUAAUCUUGGCGGAAGGCCUAUGAUGCCAAUUCAUGGAGUACAAUCUCAGACCUAUGCACAAACUGCGGGAGGUGUUUACAUGAGGCCAAUGCAUCCUGCUGCAAACCUUUCAUCUACAAAUCAGAACAAUAUGGUCAGAACAAACAACCUAGGGCAGUCUGGAGCAAACUCUGGACCAACUACAUCUGAGAGGCAAGCUGAGCAAGAAUCUGAGUUUUCGGCUCAGCAAAAUGCUAAAAAGGUUGUACAUGAUGUGGGUACAGCAUCUGCCGUGGUAGCUGAUGCGGAGGUUAAAACUGCGAAAUCUGAGACGGAUAUGAAGUCCAUUGAUAAUGAGAAUAAACCUACUGGUGAAGAUAAAACUAUUCAGGGAGAUACAUCUUCCAAGGAGAUUCCAGAUAUACAUGCACUUGAAAAUGGAGAGUCUGUAAGUAAAUCAAUAUUGAAGGAAGAGGGUGUGGAUGGUACUCUGGACCAUUCAAGUAAUGGUAAAUUGGGUGAAGUUGUAGCUGAGGGUGUAAAAGAUGUUUCCAUCAGUGACAUGAAACAGAGAGAGCUUAAAGAAAUCCCAUCUGAAGAAGCUCAACUUCGUGAAGAACAGGGUUGGAUGUUGCAGAAGGAUGCUAGUGGCGAUCCGCAGCCUUUUAUUGGCACUGAUGAGGGAUCUCAAGCUGUAUCUACUUCAGCUCCAAUAUCUGAUCAAGGAAAGCAUCUGCCUCAUCAUGGACCUACUACACUCCCUCAAAGACCUGGCGCACCUCUUUUGUUACAAGUGCCUCCAGGACCUCCUUGUCAUACACAGGGGCCUGGGCAUCAUUUAAGGCCUCCAGGGCCUGCACAUGUUCCUGGACAGCCUUUUCAUUCAUCUGAGCAUUUCCAGCCACAUGGUGGCAACCUGGGCUUUGGAGCAUCAUCUGGCAGGGCAAGUCAGUAUGGUCCUCAAGGAAGCAUCGAACUGCAAUCUGUUACUCCGCAUGGGCCUUAUAAUGAAGGUCAUUUACCGCUUCCACCCACUAGUGCUUUUGAUUCUCAUGGUGGCAUGAUGUCAAGAGCAGCACCAAUUGGACAGCCAUCUGGUAUCCACCCAAAUAUGUUGAGGAUGAAUGGAACUCCAGGCCUUGACUCCUCAUCAACUCAUGGGCCGAGGGAUGAAAGGUUUAAGGCUUUUCCAGGCGAGCGGUUGAAUCCCUUCCCAGUGGAUCCGACACGUCAUGUUAUUGACCGAGUAGAGUUUGAAGAUGAUCUGAAGCAAUUCCCUAGGCCUUCAUAUCUGGAUUCUGAGCCUGUUGCAAAAUUUGGGAAUUACUCGUCAAGGCCAUUUGAUAGGGCACCUCAUGGCUUCAAGUAUGAUAGUGGUCCACAUACAGAUCCUCUAGCUGGCACUGCUCCAUCAAGGUUCCUGUCUCCCUAUCGUCUUGGUGGUUCAGUGCAUGGGAAUGAUGCAGGAGAUUUUGGGAGAAUGGAGCCUACUCAUGGUCAUCCAGAUUUUGUUGGACGGCGUCUUGUGGAUGGUUUGGCUCCUCGAAGCCCAGUUAGAGAUUACCCUGGCCUCCCACCUCAUGGGUUUAGAGGCUUUGGCCCUGAUGAUUUUGAUGGCAGGGAGUUUCAUCGAUUUGGUGAUCCACUUGGAAAUCAAUUCCAUGAGGGUAGGUUUUCUAAUUUGCCCGGUCAUUUUCGUAGGGGAGAGUUUGAGGGUCCUGGUAAUCUGCGAAUGGUUGAUCAUAGAAGGAAUGAUUUUAUUGGUCAAGAUGGUCACCCUGGUCAUCUUCGGAGGGGAGAUCAUUUAGGUCCUCACAACUUGCGAGAACCUCUGGGUUUUGGUUCUCGUCAUUCACACAUGGGAGACAUGGCUGGGCCCGGGAACUUUGAGCCAUUUCGAGGCAACAGGCCCAAUCAUCCUCGCCUUGGUGAGCCUGGAUUUCGAAGCAGCUUUUCACUUCAGAGAUUUCCAAAUGAUGGAACUUAUACAGGAGAUCUGGAGUCUUUUGAUCACUCAAGGAAAAGGAAGCCAGCUAGUAUGGGGUGGUGUCGGAUCUGUAAAGUUGAUUGUGAAACAGUGGAAGGCUUGGACUUGCAUUCACAAACAAGGGAGCACCAGAAGAUGGCUAUGGAUAUGGUACGAAGCAUUAAGCAGAAUGCCAAAAAGCAGAAACUAACCUCUGGUGAUCAGUCCUUAUUAGAGGAUGCAAACAAGUCAAAAAUUCCAGUAUUGAGGGCCGGGGAGAAAAGCAUUGAUUGAUGAUGGUGUGCUGCAAUGUGGAUCUCUUUGGUUGCAUUUCACUUGGGGUCCAAUUGUUUCUUUGGUAUUAUUGCGUUAGCAAUAUAGGUGAUGCACCCUUCCAUGCCUCUUUUUUCUACAUUCGGGGUGGUUCAUGCUAGUUUUGUCAUUUCAGGUUGCUGCCAUGUUAAUGGAGAUGGUAUUUGGAACUGGAGUUCAAUGGCAAUCUUUUCAAUUCGACCUGUCUUUUUUCGGCGAAGCAGACUACGUAAGGGCUGAAAGUUUAGCAGAGAGGUUUACUCUGUCAUCUGUUUUUGAUGUGGUAAGAUUGUGUUCAAUGUACAGAUUUUAUUUUGAGGCAAAAUUUGCUUGUUAGUGAUUUCAUUGUCAUGCUGAUAUGUUGGGGGUUCUAUCUGUUUCUACAUAUUUACUAUUGUGUAUACAAACGGUGCAUCCUUUGAAGGGCUAGGAUAACCUUAGGAAACUUAGGAGGGUUGUAAAUUUGAUCGCCUUUCAUCUUUAGAUACUAGCUUUAAGAAGCCGUAGGCUUAAAUUAUUAUAUGUGUACUGGAAUUGUUAGUGGUAGGGCUCAAGACUUAUCUAGCAUAUUGCAUAAUGACAGGCUGAUGGCCGUUUUACCGUUGCAUUUUGUGGAUUAAUUUCAUUCUUUUGUUUUUGACACUUGGGUGAUGCAUAUUUGGAACUGUUUUAAAUUUCUUACAUAUCGGAAAAACUUGCAGUCUUAUGGUUUUUUUCAUAAUUGUAAAAAAAAUAAAAAUAAAAAUAAAAAUCUUGGACUGUGAAGGGGAAUACUUUGAUGGCUCUUUAAAUUAUUAAUCCAUGAAAACCUUAAGAGUGUUUCUCAUAAAAAGAAGAAAGAAAAAGUCUGAGCGUUUCUUUUGUCUAACACCAUCAAAAGAUCUCCUGAUAUGACUAAAGAGUUUCUCUUGUUCAUGAAGAUUUUUUCUUUCUUUCUUUCUUUUUCUUUGGGGAACUUCAAAGGAAUCACCACAACUACUGCAUAUCAAAAGAUAUCGAAUUGCAGUCUCAAACUUUUCCUUGAUGCUUGUAGUGUAUUCGUUUUGCAGACCUGUUAGAGUAUUUUUGUUUGUCUAAGUAGCCUUCAUUACUUUUCUUCUCUUGCAUUUUAGAUAAGCAAAUUCUGUUUCGUAUGGUUGGUUUUAGACUCAGACUAAAAGACUGUUUUUACCUCUUCUAAGAGUAAACAGAUUUCUUUAACCUUCCUGGUUAUAUGGGAAUUUGAUUUGGAUAUUACACUUGAAAUUAGGGAAAUAGGGUACCUUUUUUCACAUAUUGGAAUGCUACUGUCAACGCUAAGAAGCUCUAAAUUCAUAAUGGAGUAAGCUUAUUUAUAUUUUUAUGCAUUUGUGCAAUGAUGUUGACAUGAUCAUGAACAUGUUUCAUAAUGAACUCUAAAAUUUAUGAUUUACUAGCAAUAUCUUUUAUUUAUUUCAGUAAGCAUAUAUUCGCAAUGCAUGUAUCAUCUCACUUGCAGUCACCCCGUUCUCUCUUGUCCUUCCUCUUGUUUUCCUUCAAACUUAAAGAAGAAGAAAUUGGCCUUUUCCGUCUCUUUCCCACUUUCGAUUGAGUACACUGGAAUCUUAGUUUUAUUCAACAAGAUUACCAUAACUUUUAUGGGUGACUUGGGUACGUUCUGAAAUAGGAAAACUUUAAGGGAUGAUCAUGCUUUCAAGCCAAGAAAAUUCGUUAUAAUAGUCCAGGGCUUUUGUGAUCAGAGGCAUAUGCCAAAGCGUUGCCAAUUUGCAUGCAAUCCAAUGAAUAAUGCAGAACUGAGCAACUUAAAUGAUAACUACACUGAAUAAAAUACACAAUAUUUAUUUAACCGGAAAAAAAAA